rnacentral:lncRNA from 1 species
UGUCCGCAUGUAAACUUCUAGAAUUUGUCACCAAUAUAAGUACAUCGCAAUCCGUUACUGUUUCAACAGCCAUCGGUGUUUCAUGUGUGUAUUCUUAAACAAGUAUUAUUUUUCUCUCGUUUUUAGCAAUGUAUCACUCUCUACUGUCCUUAUAUAUUAUUCUAUAUUCUGAGUUUCCAUCCAGAUUCUCGUGUAUACCAUGAGGGUCCGGAUUGGGGGUUUUGUUGAUUUCUGUACUCUUUAAAUUGUUAUGUCAUUUUUU